GCCAUCGCGAAGGGAGAACCGGCUCUGCCGGUGCCGAAGGAGCAACCGCCCCGGAAACUCUCAGGCCACAGGGACCUUUGCGAAAGA
rnacentral:ncRNA from 2 species